CUCCUGCCUACCAUCACGUAAGACACGGCUUUGCUUUUUCUUUGCCUUCCACCGUGACUGUGAGGCCUCCCCAGCCAUGUGGAACUGGCAAGAAGUUGCAGGAAAAAUGGCUUCUAGCAGUGGAACUUCCUCAUACACGUGAUCUGUUUCUGAUUAGAGAACUGCAGGAGGUGAAAAUUGGGUUCAAGGUUGACUUUGCCCCAGUACUGAGGCAAUACUCUUCAGAAUAUUCUAUCCAGUGCUCCAUUAAUUAGGAGAUUUUCCACUCUGAAUGGUGGAAAUGUGAACUAUUCCUGGUCCUGCAUGAAUUCCUGGGAUUAUUCCACUGCUCCUUUGGAAUGUUUCUGCCCUGG